rnacentral:rRNA from 1 species
GGUCAGCUGAGUGCAGGAGAGGAAAGCGGAAUUCCUAGUGUAGCGGUGAAAUGCGUAGAUAUUAGGAGGAACACCCGUGGCGAAGGCGGCAUCUGGACUGUAACUGACGCUGAGGCACGAAAGCGGGGGAGCAAACAGGAUUAGAUACCAUGGUAGUCCACGCUGUAAACGAAGAAUACUAGGUGUCGUGCGUCAAAGCCCGGUGCCGCAGCUAACGCAUUAAGUAUUCCGCCUGGGGAGUACGGUCGCAAGACUGAAACUCAAAGGAAUCAACGGGGACCCGCACAAGCAGCGGAGCAUGUGGUGUAAUUCGAAGCAACGUGAAGAACCUUACCAGGUCUUGACAUCCCUCUGAAUGGCGCUUAGCGGCGCAGGUCUUUCGGGACAGAGGAGACAGGUGGUGCAUGGUAGUCGUCAGCUCGUGUCGCGAGAUGUUGGGCUAAGUCCCGCAACGAGCGCAACCCUAACCUUUAGUUGCCAGCACAUCAUGGUGGGCACUCUAGAGGGACUGCCGGUGACAAACCGGAGGAAGGUGGGGAUGACGUCAAAUCAUCAUGCCCCUUAUGAUCUGGGCUACACACGUGCUACAAUGGCCGGUACAACGAGAAGCGAAACCGCGAGGUGAAGCAAAUCUUAUAAAGC